rnacentral:ncRNA from 1 species
UAUGGAUUAUUAGAGAUAUAAUAUUAGUAUAAUAUUAGUUAAUUUAUAUUUUUUAUAAAAAUUAAAUAAUAUUAUUGUUUAGGAAAUAAGUUUAUUUAGUAUAAAAAAUACAAAGAUAUGAAUAAAAAAUUGUCUAAUUUUGUGCCAGCAGUCGCGGUUAAACAAGAGAGAAUUAAUAUAUUCAUAAGUUUAUUAAAAAAAAAUAAUAGUUAAAAAAUUUUAAAAAAUGGUGAAAUAUUUUUAAAAAUAAAAUAGUUAAUUAAAAAUAAGGUAAAUUAUUAAAAAAACUAGGAUUAGAUACCCUAUUAUAGUAAUAGUAAAUUAGUAGUAAAAUUUUUUAAACUAAAGGUAAUUGGCGGCAUUUUAUAUCUUUUCAGAGGAAUUUGUUUAUUAAAAGGACGAUCCACCUGAAUCUUACUUUAAUUGGAAAUUUCAGUUUAUAUAUCGUUAUCUUUAUUAAUUUUAGUUAAAUAGUAGAAGUUUAAAAAAUUUAAAAAAUGUUAAAUUAGAUGUAGCUAAUAUUAAAGGUUAGAUGAAUUAUAUUAAUUUUUUUUAACGAAAAAUGAUUUUAAAAAGUUGUUUUAAGAAAAAUUUGAAAGUAAAAUUUUUAAAUUAUAAAAAUUUGAAAAAGCCCUAAAAUGUGCACAUAUCGCCCGUCACUUUCAUUAAAGUGAAAGAAGUCGUAACAAAGUAAAUAUAUUGGAAAAUGUAUUU